rnacentral:rRNA from 1 species
AACGAACGCUGGCGGCGUGUCUUAAGCAUGCAAGUCGUGCGGCAAGGGGUAGCAAUACCCCCUAGAGCGGCGGACUGGUGAGUAACGCGUGGGUGAUCUGCCCUUGGGUUGGGGAUAGCCAUUAGAAAUAGUGGGUAAUACCGAAUACGUUCGCCGGGCUGUGGCCUGGCGAGGAAAAGCGCUUCGGCGCUGCCCGAGGAUGAGCCCGCGUCCCAUUAGCUAGUUGGUGAGGUAACGGCCCACCAAGGCGAUGAUGGGUAGCCGGCCUGAGAGGGUGUACGGCCACACUGGGACUGAGAUACGGCCCAGACUCCUACGGGAGGCAGCAGCUAAGAAUAUUCCGCAAUGGACGAAAGUCUGACGGAGCGACGCCGCGUGGACGAUGAAGGCCGAAAGGUUGUAAAGUCCUUUUGUCGGGGAAGAAUAACCAUGGGAGGGAAUGCCCGUGGGAUGACAUGAACCGACGAAUAAGCCCCGGCCAACUACGUGCCAGCAGCCGCCGUAA